GUAGGUGGCAAGCGUUGUCCGGAAUUAUUGGGCGUAAAGCGCGCGCAGGCGGUCCUUUAAGUCUGAUGUGAAAGCCCACGGCUCAACCGUGGAGGGUCAUUGGAAACUGGGGGACUUGAGUACAGAAGAGGAAAGCGGAAUUCCAAGUGUAGCGGUGAAAUGCGUAGAGAUUUGGAGGAACACCAGUGGCGAAGGCGGCUUUCUGGUCUGUAACUGACGCUGAGGCGCGAAAGCGUGGGGAGCAAACAGGGAUUAGAUACCCUGGUAGUCCACGCCGUAAACGAUGAGUGCUAAGUGUUAGGGGGUUUCCCGCCCCUUAGUGCUGCAGCUAACGCAUUAAGCACUCCGCCUGGGGAUACGGCCGCAAGGCUA
rnacentral:rRNA from 1 species